GGGGCCUUUGGGAAAUAUUGCUUGAGCUUCUUCCAGGCUUCCUUCGACACCACCCUCCUCUCGUUCUCGGAUAUGCACAGGUCACCUGCAGGGAGACAGGCAGGAGAAGGGCUUUGCCCCACCUUGAUGACGUCACAUCCUGCGCGACGCAGCGGGCGGGCCUACUUCCGGCGGAGCCUGCUUCCGGCGAGGCCGCUUCCAGCCGCCAUUACGCGACGCCGCGGUCGUCCUGCAGCGCUCGGGUCGGACCGGUUUGAUCCCCGCGGCCGUCAGCUCCGCCCCGCGCCGUCUCACGCAUCGCCCUCAGGGCCCUGCAGCCGCCUCCAUACCUCCUCGGACCCUAUGCCCAACCUCUUCCGCACCCAAUCCCUCCGCAGCCCUGUAUCCGUACCCCUCACACCUUCAUAUCCGCGUCCGGUCCCCCCGAGAUCCUGCGUCCCACCCCUCCAGACCCCCCGUGCUCCUACAUCCACUUGUCCCGGGUCCCCAUAGCUGCACCCGCGAUCCCCCCGUAUCAGUCCCGCGGAUCCAUACAUCCCCCCUCCGUAAGCAUCUGCUCUAGGCUCCCCCACGUAUUCAACCCCAUGCCCGCACCCCCCCGUGCUCCCUUUCCAGCCCCACACCUCCGUGCCCCACCCAAAGCACCGGCUUCCCCCUCCCCUCCCCCACAGAGCCCCCAGUUCCACGUGGAGCCCUGUGCCCCCGUUCUUCCUGGAUUUCAGAUGACAGCCCCAGGCGCAGACCCACACACGGCCCCCACACUCGUUCUCUCUCCUUUAAUGGGUGUCCCAGCACAGGGGGGCUGGGGGGGCGCGCUGUCCCCGCCAACACCCACGAUUGUCCCUUGUGCCCCCCACUCAGGUGCCACCCCAGGAGGCACCCGAGCGGCCCGGCCGCCCCAGCGUGGCUUGGGUCGGGAGUGGGGAGGGGGGGUGUAAACAUUCCUGUGGGGUCCCGGCCCCCCCGGAGCCAUCCCAGGGCAGCGAAGCACCGUUUUCUCGUGGCUUUUUGGAAAAAUAAUAAUAAACCCGACAAAACUCGUC